CAAAUACCAAUGAUGUCUGUCAUCUAUAUAUACCCUGUAGAUCCGAAUUUGUGUGAAUAUACAGUCGCAAAUUCGUGUCUUGGGGAAUAUGUAGUUGACAUAAACACAACGCAAUACAG
rnacentral:precursor_RNA from 8 species